AACGAACGCUGGCGGCAUGCCUAACACAUGCAAGUCGAACGAGACCUUCGGGUCUAGUGGCGCACGGGUGCGUAACGCGUGGGAAUCUGCCCUUGGGUUCGGAAUCACAGUUGGAAACGACUGCUAAUACCGGAUGAUGACGUAAGUCCAAAGAUUUAUCGCCCAAGGAUGAGCCCGCGUAGGAUUAGCUAGUUGGUGAGGUAAAGGCUCACCAAGGCGACGAUCCUUAGCUGGUCUGAGAGGAUGAUCAGCCACACUGGGACUGAGACACGGCCCAGACUCCUACGGGAGGCAGCAGUGGGGAAUAUUGGACAAUGGGCGAAAGCCUGAUCCAGCAAUGCCGCGUGAGUGAUGAAGGCCUUAGGGUUGUAAAGCUCUUUUACCCGGGAUGAUAAUGACAGUACCGGGAGAAUAAGCUCCGGCUAACUCCGUG
rnacentral:rRNA from 1 species